rnacentral:rRNA from 1 species
UAGCGUAUAUUUAAGUUGUUGCAGUUAAAAAGCUCGUAGUUGGAUUUCUGUUGAAGGCAGCCGGUCCGCACUUGGUGCGUGUAUCUGGUUUGACUUCGGCAUCCUCUCAAAAUACGUUUCUGCGCUUGAUUGCGUGGAGCGGAGUUUGGGACUUUUACUUUGAGGAAAUUAGAGUGUUCACGGCAGGCCAUCGCCAGAAUACAUUAGCAUGGAAUAAUAAGAUAGGAUCUUGGUUCUAUUUUGUUGGUUUCUAGAGCUAAGGUAAUGAUUAAUAGGGAUAAUUGGGGGCAUUUGUAUUAACGCGUC